GCGGAAGUUGGACAGUCGCGCCCAGAGAAGUCUGAAUGAAGGUUGAACUGAGCCCAGACUGAACAACUCUGUCAAUCUUCGGUUCGAGGAGGAGGGAGGGUGGGAGACACGUCUCUCCCGCCGCUCUGCGCUGUGAAAAGACCGUUGGCGUCGAGGGUCUUCUCUCGGCCAGGCUGGCCAGUCGCCAUGGCCACCGCUCGCGAGGCUGUUGUCAGAGGGCCUUCGCUGUCGAGAUCUGCUCCGUCAUCCCCAUCGAUCAGCCACAGCCGGAGCUAGCGUUUGCCCUGGGGUCUGUCUGCACCUUGCUGUAUCCUCCCUGCCACCCGCAGCUACACAAAUGAAGGUCACAGUGCGCGUCCGGUUUGUGAGAGGAAACCCGCAAAGGGAAGCAGGCAGGAUACUGAAGCAACGCAAAGUUUCCCACCUGAGCCUCGUGAGGACCAGGGUGCAGUGCGAUUCUGAAGGCCUGCUGCUGAUGCUGCCAAUCUGCUGAGAUUCUAGAAGGUUUGUCCUGACGUUAUGUGUGUUAAUGGCCCAAGGGGAACACCGACUGGUGUCAGCGAGCGUGUCAUUGACGGCAAUUUACCAACACUUAGCCGAUGAUGGAAAGCAGACUGGUGGGGUGUGAUCAGACAGGAACAUCAAUGCCGGUGCUUUUGAUGUAUUGAAACAGCACCACCUAGUGGUGCAGCUUGUUCCUGCAACCUAUGCAAUCAUUGCCAAAGCUGGGAUAGAUUUCUAACGUGUAUCAUGUGGACUGACAGGAGGCCAAGAUGAUAUCGGCAUGAGAAACCUCUGGCUGAAAACAUUUGCGCACGCUUCAGACUUUUUUCUGUCACCAUGUGCAAGGGCUCCGUCAUAUUGUGACAUUUGUCAAGCUCCAUCCUUCAGUUCCAAGUUAAAUUAUCUGCCAUCAUUUACACCUGCAUGUCCUGAAUCUCAACUGUUGCUUUGAGGAUGCUUCAACUCGGCCAACCACAAGCUACUGGCGCUGUUUGGGUCGCAAGUUCAGGAUCGGUGUCUCUUCACCAAGUCUGUACUUGCCUUGCCUCGGUAUGCUUGUUCCUGCUCAUGGCAAGCUCUGCUGAACGUCUGCUUUAAACAAGGCUGACCCCCCCCACACCCUGCUUUGAUGGGAGGAUGAGGGAACAUACUUUGUGUGCGCACACUGUCACUUACCUUUUGGAGUUCUAUGUUUUAAAACUUUUCAAAACUCCAACAGGAACAAGCCUAUUCUGACUAACAUUUCAUCAGCAGCCAAACUGCCAUUGCUGUUAUCUUUCCAGCGUUUUGUAUAACUACGAUGUAG